rnacentral:rRNA from 1 species
AAUCAACGCUGGCGGCGUGCCUAACACAUGCAAGUCGAACGCGAAAGUCCCGCAAGGGAUUAGUAGAGUGGCAAACGGGUGAGUAACACGUGGGUGACCUGCCUUCGAGCGGGGGAUAACGUCCCGAAAGGGACGCUAAUACCGCAUAACAUCCUGCCUUUUAAGAGGUGGAGAUCAAAGCCGGGGAUUCGCAAGAACCUGGCACUUGAAGAGGGGCCCGCGCCUGAUUAGCUAGUUGGGGGGUAAUGGCCUACCAAGGCAACGAUCAGUAUCCGGCCUGAGAGGGCGGACGGACACACUGGGACUGAGACACGGGCCCAGACUCCUACGGGAGGCAGCAGUGGGGAAUUGUUCGCAAUGGGCGCAAGCCUGACGACGCAACGCCGCGUGGAGGAUGAAGA